CCUACGGGGGGCAGCAGUCGAGAAUCAUUCACAAUGGGGGAAACCCUGAUGGUGCGACGCCGCGUGGGGGAAUGAAGGUCUUCGGAUUGUAAACCCCUGUCAUGUGGGAGCAAAUUAAAAAGAUAGUAGCACAAGAGGAAGAGACGGCUAACUCUGCGCCAGCAGCCGCGGUAAUACAGAGGUCUCAAGCGUUGUUCGGAAUCACUGGGCGUAAAGCGUGCGUAGGCUGUUUCGUAAGUCGUGUGUGAAAGGCGCGGGCUCAACCCGCGGACGGCACAUGAUACUGAGAGACGAGAGGAAUGGAGGGGGAACCGGAAUUCGCGGUGUAGCAGUGAAAUGCGUAGAUAUCGAGAGGAACACUCGUGGCGAAGGCGGGUUCCUGGACAUUAACUGACGCUGAGGCACGAAGGCCAGGGGAGCGAAAGGGAUUAGAUACCCUUGUAGUC
rnacentral:rRNA from 1 species